CGUUAAACUUCCUGUUAUUGCGCAUGCGUGGUCUCUCUUCGCGGUAUUUUGCACGGGGUUUCCUCUUCCAGCCACGCCAUCAAAGGGACUGGAUUUCGCCUGGUUGAGGACUUGAGGAAAGGGAUGCAUUACAGGAGAAAUUGAAGAAGAAACAUCUCAACAUGGCAUUUGUUGACUCGAAAAUGGAAUUGACAUUCUCAUUGAGAAGGAAGGAGAUAGUUGAAGAAGAACCUCUUGUAGCUGAUGUACUAAGACAAUGGCCAGCAUUGUUUUUUGGAACAUCAGAUAUGUGCUGAGUUUUACAGAAUCACACAAACAAACCUUAAGAGUAAAUUUUUCUCUUAUCUGGAUGAAUAUACACCGCGGAUGAUCAAGUUGUUUAGGGUACUCGGCGGAGCAUAUGGAGAUAAUAUUAAGACCCUCCUAGACCAACUUGAUGAUCAGACCUCCGAUGUGCUUGCUCAUAGAAAGGCUACAGCUCUCAAAGGUCUACCUUUGUUUAUGAGGGAAAAGUCUGAACAUUUCCUGAAGACUUGCCUGGACACAGAGCCAGAAGAAAAUCAUACAAAAGGGAAUAAAGAUGGG
rnacentral:lncRNA from 1 species